UUCACAUUGCAGUGGGCCUAAACAUCUGAUCCAUAAACGAGGUGGAGUCAGAGCUGGGUUGACUACUUACUGCAUUGUGUGAGGUGGAUGGGCCCCUGUGAAUGUUGUUGCCAACUGCCGGGGUCUUCUAGGGGUGUGCCGGUUUUCCCUGUUUUUUUUUGUCUGUACGAUUUUCCUCAGCUUGUUAGCCAUUUUUUCCCCUUUUUAGUGUUCUGCCGGACAGACAGGGUGGUGGAUUGUGGGAACCCCUUUCUCCUUCAAUGCAUGUGGUGGUGGGUAUGACAGCUGUGUGCAUGCUUUACUUAGUUUUAUUGUGUGAUGUUUGUGUGUAUCUUGCUGUGUCUAGGUGGCUGCGCACGAGUGUGAGUGGUGGUGUCAAGGCACAUGGGUGGCCCACAGGUAACCCCACCACCCGGCAGGUCUGGCCCCUGUAGAUGCUGAGGUGUUUUUAACCAUGUGCUUUUAUCCCUUAGCAUCUCUGACAGUAUUGGCCACAUCUUAUUUGUUUUUAUUGUUGUGCUUGUGCAGCGAAUAAAAUUGCCCAAAGCCUGA